rnacentral:rRNA from 1 species
UCUUAGCUAAUACCGCAUAAUACCUACGGGUCAAAGCAGCAAUGCGCUUGAAGAGGAGUUUCGCGGCAGAAUUAGUUAGUUGGCGGGGUAAUGGCCCACCAAGACGAAUGAUCUGUAUCCGGCCUGAGAGGGCGCACGGACACACUGGAACUGAAACACGGUCCAGAACUCCUACGGGAGGCAGCAGUGGGGAAAUUUUGCGCAAUGGGGGAAAACCCUGACGCAGCAACGCCGCGUGGAGGAAGAAAUCCCUUCGGGAAGUAAACUCCUUUUCGAUAGGGAAGAUUAUGAACGGUACCUAUAGAAGAAAGCCCCGGCUAACUUUCGUGCCAGCAGCCGCGGUAAUACGAGGGGGGCAAGCGUUGUUCGGAAUUAUUGGGCGUAAAGGGUGCGUAGGCGGUUUGACAAGUCUUGUGUGAAAUCUAUGGGCUCAACCCAUAGUCUGCAUAGGAAACUGUCGGGCUUGAGUAUGGGAGAAGUGAGUGGAAUUUCCGGUGUAGCGGUGAAAUGCGUAGAUAUCGGAAGGAACACCUGUGGCGAAAGCGGCUCACUGGACCAUAACUGACGCUGAUGCA